CCCUGUUUGGGGCGUGCUAUGGCCGGACAGGGUGUGGGCGGCCAGCGGGCAUUUCGCUGGGCCACACACCUUCCCCAAAGGGCUUUAAAGAUAAGUCCCUGGACUGGGAGUUACAUUGCAGGAUUGACCCUGGUCCCUGGGCCUGCGGCUGGGGUCCGGCUGGGGCGCUGACCCCCAUCUGGGUGUCCUGUACCAUAGGGGGGAAGUACAGAGCUGAUCCCCCCUCAGCGCCAGGCAGGAUGGAGCCUCUCAUUCCCCACACAUCUGGGCUGGGAAGUCCCCUGGCCAGGGCAACCUGGCCUGGCCUCCCCUUUGGGCUGGGGAGCUGUUUGCAGCCCAACACAGAGCUCAUUCACUGGCUGCUUUUCCACUCACCCCCUUGGCUGGUGCAGCUCCCGGUGUGGGCAUGGGUGGGGCAGCUGCUGGGGGGGGACACCACCCCCUCUGGGUGGAAGGGAGGGGGCUGCAGCUAUCUGAGUUGGGGGGGCAGGGUGCAUGGGGGGCAUCUCCUGAGUCUGUGGCUUGAAUUAACUCAGCAAAACCCUAGCUCAGUCUCAGACCCUUUGGAGACUGGCCCUGGGCAAAGGAGUGGGAGCGGAGGGGGGUGGGAACUGCCCCUGGGAAUGGCCCCCCCAGAGACAAGGCCCCCUCAGUGCAGGGGGGAGGGAGUGCUGGCUAUGGCAGCCAGAGGGUACACUAGGGGCUGGGGCCGGUCAUACCCCAGGGCAGGGCCAGGGAGGGUGGGCAGCAGCAGCCGGGAGUCUUACCCCAGGGGCCAGGGUGGGCAGGUGCUGGGGCUCGUACCCCAGGGGCCGUUCACUCUCCCAACCCAACGCUCUGGGGCUCGAGGGGAGCAAAAGCAGGGGGAUCCCUCUUUCUCCUCAUGCUGCAAGCACAGCCCCCUCGACCCUCCUCUCAGCCCCAUUAGCGAGGGGUGCCCUCCUGCCACCACUGCCCCCCAACUCAGACCUGGCCCCGCCACACACCCGCUCCCAUCCCCCCCAAAUGAGGCUGCAGUCCUGCCCCCAUUGGUGCCAGUGACGGCUUCGCCUCACAUGGGAGCAGGAGCAGGCCCGACCGCUCCAUGGGCCCUGCCCCACACCAGCUCUGUGGGUCCCUGGCUCAUGGGCAGCACACCCCCCACCAGCCCCACCAGCUAACACCUGGCCAGCCUGCCUCCCCUA
rnacentral:lncRNA from 1 species